rnacentral:rRNA from 1 species
UACGAGUGGUGCAAGCGUUAUUCGGAAUUAUUGGGCGUAAAGGGCGCGUAGGUGGUAUAUUAAGUCAACUGUUAAAUUCUUCGGCCUAACCGGAGGUGUGCGGUAGAUACUGAUAUGCUUGAGGAUGGAAGAGAGAAGUGGAAUUCUUGGAGUAGCGGUAAAAUGCGUAGAUAUCAAGAGGAACACCAAUGGCGAAGGCAGCUUCUUGGUCCAUUCCUGACACUGAUGCGCGAAAGCGUGGGGAGCAAAC